rnacentral:rRNA from 1 species
GAUGAACGCUAGCGGGAGGCCUAACACAUGCAAGCCGAGCGGUAGAGAUUCUUCGGAAUCUUGAGAGCGGCGUACGGGUGCGGAACACGUGUGCAACCUACCUUUAUCUGGAGGAUAGCCUUUCGAAAGGAAGAUUAAUACUCCAUAAUAUAUUGAUUGGCAUCAAUUGAUAUUGAAAGCUCCGGCGGAUAGAGAUGGGCACGCGCAAGAUUAGUUAGUUGGUGAGGUAACGGCUCACCAAGACGAUGAUCUUUAGGGGGCCUGAGAGGGUGAUCCCCCACACUGGUACUGAGACACGGACCAGACUCCUACGGGAGGCAGCAGUGAGGAAUAUUGGUCAAUGGGUGCAAGCCCUGAAACCAGCCAUCCCGCGUGAAGGACGACUGCCCUAUGGGUUGUAAACUUCUUUUGUAUAGGGAUAAACCUUACCCUCGUGAGGGUAGCUGAAGGUACUAUA